AUUGUACUCCCUCCGUUCCAAAAUACUUGACUUCCAUUUGUCCAAAAAUGGAUGUACCUAUAUACUAAAACAUGUCUAGAUACAUAUAUAUUUUGACAAAUAGAAGGCAUGUAUUGUGCAACGGAGGGAGUAGAAU
rfam:Triticum aestivum genome assembly, contig: Triticum_aestivum_CS42_TGACv1_scaffold_220933_3B